AUUUUGCAGACUACAAGCAUACUCCAAGAAGCCAAACUUCACACCUCCAAACUUUAUUUGGAUUAAAUACUGUUCUGCUAGAUAGAAGCAGUGAUUCUGCUCAUCAGACAUACUGCUGCCUCAUCAAGAAUUGCUAUGUUUAUUUUGCCAGAGGCUGUAUCUUCAGAAAGGUUUUUGAAUGAAGACUCUUCCACAGCUGCAGGCAUAUCACACAGUAGACUGGCAGGAGAAUACUUCCUUCUCAUCUAUGUUCAACAGAGGAAGAGUGGGAUUUUCUACCUGGCUCUAACCUGAAGAAAGAGUUCUUUCCUCAUAGCGCUACUGCUGGCCUGGGCUUCAUCCUUCCCGUAAAACUGAAUACACAUCUUCAGCAUUUCCUGUUGUCCCUCUUCAGACCCAGGAUGCCCAGUACAGGCCAAGUAAAGACUGCUGUGUACCUGUUCUAGCAGAUGAGACGUCAGGAAGUUCUUCUUCUUCUUCUUCUUCUUUUUUUUUUUUUUUAGUGUUUCACUAACACUUUUCAAACUAGCUAGAGCUACUUGAUAUCAACCAUAACACUUGGGACUGCUUACUGCCAGAGAGGGUUCAUUAAAGAGCUUUAAAUCUUUCUCUUACUAAAGUUUUCAGUUGUGUGAAUUAACUAAGUACUAGUUACCUACUCACUACUCUGGUCAAGGCAGGGAAAACAUUUUGUACUGUUCUACUAGACUGCUGUUUGUUAUAUAAGUUUCUGAAGCUUAUCAUUAAAACAGGCUUUGGUGUCACUGAAACUGUAACUCAGUUAACAGUGCCAAGAGCUGAUGGGAUAAACAACAUAUUGAAGUGUUUUUAUUGUCUUAUUGAUAAAGCUGUUUUGUAAUAUUUUCUUCUGUGUUCACACAGACUGUGUGUCCUAAUACUCAGUGACCCAUUGCCCCCUAAGUCAUUGAAGUACUCAGAAAUUUUAUGACCGGUCUUCCGUCAGGAAGUUAUACACAAGCUGAACUUCAGGCAUGUGAAGCAUCUCAUUGAAGUUUCCCAUUUCAAGUUCAUACCCAUGUGUCUGUAGGAUGAUAGUAUCUCAGCAUCUUCAUGCUUCUCGAUUAAAGGCUAGUAAUUGGAGCCAGCUUCCAGUAGUAUGGGCAACGUUUCCUUCUGCAGCACUGAGGUCUCAGGAUAGGAGCUCCUGUAAUAAAAAGAGAUAAAAAGGAUAGCCCAAGGGAAGUCAGAUUUACUGUUUCUGGAUGGGCCUACCUCAUGUAUUUCAAAUCCCAGUGGCCAUACCAGGACUAUAGCUUGUACAAAGUGAUGGCUGUGGGCUCUUGUCCUCAGCUAAUCUUGCUGCACCAGUAACCACUAAUCUUUCCUGUACCUGGAGCUGGCUACAGUCACCAUCAUUCUUGACAUUGCCAUAGCCCAGAGACAUAAGUAAGGAGACCAGAGAUAAAGUGACACCAAUGCACAACAAAAGGAUCCCAGGUGUACCAAGCCUCUCACUGAAGAAACUCAUUUCUCCCUUUUGUUCUGGAGCCAGAGAGUACUUGACAUCUUUGAGGUUUCUUGAGAGGUUUCUUCAUGGCCUUUUCCACAUAUCUGAAGCAUAACCUCUGACUUAUUUUCAUCUUAAAGCAAAAGUGAAAAUCUAUCAGAAGAGAACACCAAAGAAGAAAAAGUUGAUGAAAACUCCUGACUACUUGGAAGACAAAAUCAGAAAUGUUGCAGGUAUUUAUAAUAAAUGAACUGUUUGGACUAUAAGCUAUCUCUAUGAAGAGAAAUGUUGCCUUUGCUCCAUUCUCUGUAGUGAGGACAUUUGGACUGCAUUAAGCCACAGAGUGGGAGGGGAUUUCAGAAAAUUUUUCCUGCCAAAAUUGCAUGUAAGGCUGCUUAAAAAAAAAUAAGAGUCUGAUUGUUAUAAAGCUUAAUGUUAUGAUGUUUUCAAUUAGUUUAAAAGCUUUUUUUAUUGAUCAUUUUUAUUACGGUUGUUCAGUUAUUUUGUAACUCUUAUUUGGAAUAAGUCACAGUUUAUUUAAAGCAUCUUGAACUACAUUGCUUUUUCAAGUCUUAUCAAGAACGAGUACUGUGCUGGGUCAGUCUAUACACUUUUAAGUUUUAGCAUUUUUAAUGUAAUGUUUCAAUGUUCAUUUUGUGUUUGUUUUUUAUCCAUUGACCUUGUUUUGUGAGAUUUUGUGUAAGGCUUAGCUUCAGUUUAUUUGAGGGUGCUAGACACCUUGUGGAAUUUUUGCUGUUGUUUUCUAAGUUUUAACAUAUUCUAAUACAUUUGUCUACAAGUCAAAUAUGAUAUGGAGACUUUUGUGAGUAGAUUUGUUUAUGUUACUUUUAUCUUACUUUCCUAACUUAUGUAAUGUAUCCUUAUUCAUUUGCAUUUAAAUAUUUCAUUUCUGGUUAAACAUAUUUUGUUCUGCCUUG
ensembl:lncRNA